rnacentral:lncRNA from 10 species
UUUGUGGGUCAAGAAAUCAGGAGUGGCUUAGCUGGAUAGUUCUGGCUCAGGGUUGCUUAUGAAGUUUCAGUCGAGAUGUUGGCUGGGGCUCCGGUCAUCUGAAUGUUUAACUUGGGCUAAAGGAUCCACUUCUAAGAUGCCUCAGGCACAGGGCUGGUAAGCUGGUGGUAGCUAUUGGCUGCUCCAUAGGGCUGGGCUGCUAAAGCAUCCUCAUAACAUAAUGGCUGGUUUUGCCGAGAACAAGUAAUCCAAGAGAACAAGGCGGAAGCAGCAGUGUUAUUUUAUGACUUAGUCUGGGAAUUCACAAAGCUAUCACUAUGCCAUAUUAGGUUGGUCACAAAGAUUAACCCCGACACAAUGUGGAAAGGGAUUAUACAUGGGCAUGAAUACUAGAAGACAAGGGUCACUUGGGGAUACCUUGGAAACUGGAUUCCAUACACAAGUCCAUGUAUUAAAAAAAUCACUGAAGUAUUAUUUGCAGUGACAAUGAGUUGCAGAUAAGAUUCUAUUCAUUUCCCUAGUUUUUAAAGUCACAUCCCCCUGGAAAGAAAAUUUUAGUGGCUUGGCCGGGCGCGGUGGCUCACGCCUGUAAUCCCAGCACUUCGGGAGGCCGUGGGGGCAGAUCACGAGGUCAGGAGAUCGAGACCAUCCUGGCUAACACGGUGAAACCCCGUCUCUACUAAAAAUACAAAAAUUAGCCGGGCGUGGUGGAGGAUACCUGUAGUCCCAGCUACUUGGGAGGCUGAGGCAGGAGAAUGGUGUGAACCCAGGAGGCGGAGCUUGCAGUGAGCCGAGAUUGCACCACUGUACUCCAGCCUGGGUGACAGAGCAAGACUCCAUCUCAAAAAAAAAAAAAAAAAAAAAAAAAAAAGAAAGAAAAGAACAUUUUAGUGGCUUAUGUCUGUAAUCCCAGCACUUUGGGAGGCUGAGGCAGGCAGAUCAUCUGAGUUUGAGAACAGCCUGGCCAAUAUAGUGAAACCCCCAUCUCUACUGAAAAUACAGAAAUCAGCCAGGUGUGGUGGCACGUGCUUGUAGUCCCAACUACUCAGGAGGCUGAGGCACAAGAAUCACUUGAACCCGUGAGGCGGAGGUUGCAGUGAGCUGUGAUCACACCACUGCAUUCCAGCCUGGGCGACCGAGCAAUACUCUGUCUCAAUAAAAUAAAAUAAAAUAAAAUAAAAUAAAAUAAAAUACCUCCUUUAUUCUCCUUGUUGAAAUAAAAUUCUUUUAGGAAGACACAAACCUCUUUCAUUUCUCAAAUGGAGAUAUUUGAAAAGCAAAUAACCUUGAAAGAGGAA